CUCCGCCCAUGCCCGGCGCGGGGGCCGCGGCGGGGAAGGGUGUGGGACCCGAGGGGUCCGUGUCUGUGCGUGACUUCCCGGCUCUCCGGGGGUCCAACACCCGCAGCACCCCGACGGCGGCGGAUCGGGCGUUCCCAGAUCUCAGCGCCGCCGUCUUCUCCCAAAAUCCCGCCGGGCUGGCUGAAACGCGCCCGGCGUCCGUAAAGGAUCGGGCACCUGCCUGGUUCCCGGCCUGGCGCGUCCAUCGGACGUGGGGUCCUGGGAGUGUCACCUGCCGCCCCACACCUCCCGUCACCCGCCUCCGGAUGCCUUGCCUUGCCUUGCCUUGCCUUGCCUUGCCUUGCCUUGCCUUGCCUUGCCGGUGAGAGCAGACUGAACCACGCCCGGGGCAGUGCUGGGUACAACAGAGGAGCUGCUCUCCUUGCCCAGACCAACACCAGAGGUGAUGGUGGAUCAGCGUUGUGAGUGGCAAAAAAUACUGCUGUCAGAGAUGAGGCCUUAGCCCAGAUGGUCGUGGGGCAGAGCUGGUGGGAAUACAAUUCCACAGUUCAGGGACACAUUCCUGUGGCUUAUUUUAUUCUGCUGGACAGAGGAUAUGUUUGUAUGUGGUUUUACACUUUCUACAAAGACACUUCCAUCAACAGCCAGGGAAUACUCCUUACUUGGUUACCUAGUGCUUUGGUAAUUCUAACUCAGUUCCUCAGAGAAAUGAGUGCUGUGGACACAGUGUGCAGAAACAUGGUCAAAGGCUGCUCAUUCCAGAUGAGCAUUUACUUUCCAAAGCGCUGUGAGAUCUUUCUGUGGCUUUAUAAGAGUAAACACAAGAAAGCUCCCUUUCCAUGGCACAGCACGUGUUCCAUGCUCCCAGCUUUUAAAGCCAAGUGAGCCAGCCCCUGUGAAAAGCCUGAGAAGACCGGAGCUUAUCCCUCCUCCGACAGAGCCCUGCACACCUUCCAAGAGAAAAACAAAAGAGGGAGGAAGCAGAGAUAUUAAAAGAAACUACACAAGCAGGAAAACAACUUCUCUCUGUACUGGGAGAGACCUCUUGGCCAGCAAAAGCCAAGCUUACAGAGCAAGAUAUGAUCUUCAUUCCAGGGGAGAGAAAGGCGGGAGAGAGGGAACGGCAUGCUCCAUGCACUCUCACCUACUCACAGGCCCUAUGUGGUUUCUAUAGCAGCACAAUAGCAGACAUUUUUCUCUCUCCACAAGAAAGCCUGAGUAAUGUUCUGCAAUUAUAUUAGUCUGCAUUUUAAUCAGAUUUUAUCUUCUUUUAAGCUUGCAUUUUUUCCCAUUUCCUCUUUAUGUAAUGGUACCAAACUCUAAUCCAAGAAGUGAAAAGCUCAAAGGUUUUGUUUUUAAUUCAGGGCUGCCCAUCUGCUGUCAGUAUUUUUUUGUGCUGGUUUGUGCCCCCACAGUACAAGCAGCUGUUCUGCACACAGAGUGCUGGUUUGAUCUAAAAAGUGGGGGGAAAGCCCCAAUGCCAAAUUGAAUUAAUACAAUCUCUAAUACUUCAUUUAAAAAUGUAUAUGAGAGAACAUAGCAAAAAUUUUGUUUGCCUUUUUACGAAUGCCUCAGGAUCUAUAUUAGGCCUUCUAAAAACUAUGGGAUUAGAGUCACAUUAGCAACCUCUCUGUCUCACCUGAUGUUACGACAGAGUCAGUUCAUCAAGGGGCUAAUGCCUGGAUUGCAUUGGGGAAGGUCAGUGACAAGUCCUGCUGUGCCAGGCCAACUGUAGGAUGAUGUUGACACUGACAACAGUAAUGAAGAACAAGUAAACAAGUAAAUGAACAAGAAAAGGUAAAUGAAGAGCUUGUUUCAUAUUCAUUCUGGAAGCCUAAUGUCUGCAGAUCCUGUAAGUUUGUGGAGUCAUCACCCCGAAGCUGAAUCCCUGAAAUUGCAGAGGGAAGGCAGCAUUUUGACUACCACCUCCCCAGAUUUGAGCUGGUGCCUCUGGGCAUGCAGCAGCUGGCCAGCAGGUGAGUGGCCCUGGAUGUUCGUGUCCUGCCCUGCUCAGGGUUUCAGCCAGGAUGGCACACACCCUCACUGAAUGUGGCUGGAGCUGGCCUUGUGCUGAAGUCAUAAGAUACUGUUUCUAAUACAACUUCUUUAGCAGAAGGAUGUAAAUUCAAGUCAUAUUACAUACCACAACAGACAGUUAUGAUGCGUGAAUGUGUAGGUGGCAAAGUCAAUUGCAGAAAAUAUAGAUAAUGCCAGAAAUAAGAUUGCCUGGGCAACCUUAACUCAUCCUCCCACAGGCAUAUGCAUUUUAUUAGAGCCUUAAUUGCAUAAUGUCCUAUCAUUACACUGUCUCCUGUCAUACUGGCAGUAUUCUAUUUGCCCAUAGGAACAGGGAACCUAAAUACACUUGAGGAUCUGGAUGUUAUGCUGCAUUUCUUUUAAAUCCUCAAUUAAUCACCCCAUGCUGCAACACAGGAAAUAUUCCCAUUGUAUAGGAAUUACCAGCUCUUUCGUGGGCUUAUCGUGGUGUAUAGCAAAGAUACACAAGAAAAAUUCAAACCCCAGGUGAACUAGGCUGCCUAAGCUCAGCAUGUACCUGCCACUCCAACUCCUUCCAGUUUCUACCUCAUCUUGAAACACCUCAGUACUUUAUACACCCAAAUACUCUGUGGCAAAUUCCCAUAAACACACUGCACUGAAGCAGAGAGUGCAGCCCUGAAGUUUCUGAGAUGAGCAGUUGAAACACGGAAGGAGUCCUUCUCUUUCUGCCUGAAUGGACAUUAAAUCCCUCAGGACACUGGAACAAUUUGGGCAGGAAGACUGAGAGAACCCCAUCUCAGCCUACAUGCCAGACCACGUCUCUGAGCCUUCUUCUGUAAAUACCAUAGUCUGGGGCCAAGGGCUUCCCUAAAACCCAGGAGAAAAGAGACAAUCGGAAUACACAGCAAGCAUGGCAGUAGAUCAUGUUAGGCCAAGGACCUGGCAGGAAAGGGUGAUGGGUGGGUGGGAGCUCCCCAGCCCUUCCAGGUAUGAGUGGUGCAGCAAGGGGAUAUGAGGGCAAUCCGGGGGGAAAUGACAGUUUUACAAGGGGAGAGAAGGAAGGACAGACUUCCUUAGCCUAGCAAGUGGUGCCUGUGAGAGGAGAUGAUAACCUGCUGCCAGCUCACAUGAGAGGGAUCAUGGAGGAUCAGAGCUCCUCAGAGCAAGCAGCAGCUCAUCAGAGGGUUUUCCUUAUGAGUGGGUUUUGCAGACCUUAAAUAAGACCUAAAAGAACAAGGUAUUCUAUUCAUCUUGCCUUUCAGUAAGAAAUGGAUCUGCAUACUGUUUUACAAAUGCAGUUACUGUUAACACUUUGUAAUGGUUUUCUAAAAAGCCUGCAACUAUUGAGAUUUCCAUAAGGAACCAGGUGAUUCAAAACAUUUUGCCAGUAUCCAAACUAGAUAAACAAUAAAAUAACAGCGAAAAGUGGAAGGUAAAUGAUUCCCACUUGGGAAACACAGCUAACAAGCUAUAUAGGCAUGCAGACUACAGGAAAUGGGUUAUAUUCUGCUUCAUUCUGUUUCUGUAUCAUAAAUUUCUAUAUUCUGUUAUGCCUGAGGCUCAAAACCACUGGUGAUACUUGGUGAAGUUUGUGUUUUAAAGCAUUUAAAUGAGCAGGCUUUGCUGUUUACAAGGCAGUCCUAACAGUCUUAAAAACAUUUUAUUCAUCAAAGUUUCAGGAUUGUCAUUAACAUUCACACAAUUACUAUGCAGGCAGAUGACUACAGAUAAGCAGCCAAAAAUUGUCAGAGGAAUGGCAUUCAUUUUUAUUAGCAAAAAAAUUGAGAUUUUGCAGCUACUGCAACACCCAACAUUUUAAUAACAAUCCAUUUUUCAACUGUACACUGUUCAGCUGGCUAAAUAUGCACAAGGAUUAAACACAGGAAGCUUAAGAGCAGACUGUCAUCUAUGUUUGUUUUCUAUAAACCCUUUUGUGAUGAUGAUGAACUGCACCACAACAGAGAAGUAUGGUUUAGUGUUAUUAUAUAGAUGACUCAUAUAGCAUCUACAAUUUGACAAGAGCACAGGUUUUUGGUUUCUUUUUUUUUUUUUCCCUAAAUAAAGCAAGUAGUCAGUCCAAAAAUAGAAGGAACACUUGGAAGAAUGCAGCUCCUGGAGGAAUUACAAAUUCCAUCUACCGAAACACAGAGGUUGGUAUGCUGGGGCAUCUCUGCUGAGGAUAUUGUGCAAAAGCCAUUAAUUCCUCAUCUGGAAUGUAAAUCUAUGCCGUCCAAAUGGGAUUUAAGUGUUUCAAGGUAGAACUUCAGUUCCCGGCUGGAGCCAGAUUUAACCGGUUGGGCAAUUUUCAUGGUCAUUUUUGUAUUUGCUUCCUUGCUCAGAGCCCAGAGGUAUUUGCCCCAUGCUACCUGCAGCGCUGUGGCCUGGAAUGGCUGGAAUGGGUCCCCAGGUGAGGGAGGAGAUGGGGCCCUGCUCUCCUGCUCCUCUCAGCCUGGUGUGGCCUCCCCAGCAGCCGGCAGGGCGAUUGCAGGGCUGGCCAAGUCCAAGGGCACGCCGCCGCUGCAGCACAGUCAGUUGCACAUUUUAAGGUAUAAUGCCAUAUUAAUAAUAGGAAGGCAGAAAAGCAUCGAUUACAGAUAGAGGGUAAAUAUUUCCACGUGUUUCUUAAGCUACAACAGAGCACUUUUGCCUUCUGCCCAACAUGUUCAGGAAUUCUGAGAAGAAAUAAUCUUGUUUGCCCAGAAUAGCCUGGAGAUGUGUUUCUGUGGCUGAACUACAACUUACCUUUAACUCAGUCUUACUGAUUUCUCAGAAACAAACAAAAAAAUGUAAAAAGUCUCAUUGGUCGUGUUUUCUUUUGAAUAAAUCACAGAAAUCUCCACCAAAUGGGAAGGAAAAAUGCUAACAGAGAGCAGCUUAUUGUCUACCUUCUAGCUAGAAGCUGGAGAGGUAAGAGCCUCAGACAGGCUGUGCCUGGGUACCCCAUGCCCUGACACACCACAGCUUGGGGGGAGUUGUAUCCAGCUGCCUAGGAAGUAUUUGUCAUUCAAACCAGAUUGAAUUACAACCUCGAGGGGAAGGUUCUUGUUCACACUGCCGAAAAUAAAGCCCAUCAUUACUAAUUCUUGUUGGACACAGCUGGAGAUGUGCAAGAGAACCUGGGCUUAAACUAUCUCCUCUGAGAAAGGUCUCUCUCCUGGGUGCAUGCUGGGGCAACAAGUUCUGUUGAGAGUAUGAGGCCCAGAGAACAAACCAGCUGGCUAAAGGCAGAGGGAUUUCCAUCUGGAUCUGUUGGUUUAAUGUGUGCUUUCCUUAAUUUUUAGUUUCCAUGAAGUCACUAUUAUGGGAUGGCCACAGAAAGGAUGCAAAUACAUCACAGCAAUUGCCCCCUGUCCAGACAGGACAGAUGGCUUGGACUGGUGGCAGCCUUACACAUGCCAGCAAGUGACUGGGCUCCUCCAAGGCUCUCAGCAGCAGACAAGCCACCAUUUAGGAAGUAGGACUGGGCUUGGUUUUGUUGUUACAAAACGUAAAAUCUCUGCAAUAUAACCUAAACAAUCAAGACAGCCAGUGGAUUAUCCUCAUUUCAGUAUUGCUCCUGAUGAGAGCUCACAACACCUCUGAGCUCUUUGUAUCAGGGACAUUUUCCUGUGCUUGGAACAGGUUGCAGAGCAGUGGCUUCAGGACAGCUUAGGUACCAGUGGGUUUUGUCUGACCUCAGGACUCCUUUGCCUUCACAUAUUGACUGGCAAAGGGAGGAUUGGAGCUAAAGUCUCCAUAAGUGUCAACCUGAAAUACUGCACUUUAAAUUUUAGAUGAAGGGGCAUUUAAAUGCAAAGUACUACCCUUUAUCCCUUUAUUUGAGUAUGUAAGAAAAUGCCUCAUUAUAUUCCACUGUACUACUAAUGCAGUAUGUGUAUUCUUAGAAGUUUAAUUCCACUGCUGAUAUUUAUUUAAUUCCACUGUUGGUAUUAAUAAAAGUUUACAUAAUUUUCAUUGUAUGGGAAUAGAAUUACACACUACAGAAUGCAUUCCCAUAGUCUGAAGCUGGAGGAAAAAAAUAUCUAGAAAGUCUGGGAAAAUUUAUGCUUUUUCACAGUUGUGUUUGCAAAACAAGGCUUUUUUUUCUUUUAUAUUGAAAGGAAUUCUGGCCAAGACUGACUUGUGACUCAAGAUGUUAUUUCAAAUUGCUGAAAAGAAUACUGAGAAUCAGCAUCAGGCUAGCUGCAAAGAAAGCUAUUUGCUUGCUAAAAGCAAUAGAAAAGAAUGGUGCAAUAAGUAAGGCUUAAGAGCAGUUCCAAUUAGAAUCAACUACUGGAAAAUUAGGUGAUGUUAAAAUUUGAUUCAUAUUGGUUUUUUACUGCACUCUAGACAAAGGAUCACUGUAUCUGCAGGUCUAACAAAAAAUAUUAUUUCUCCCCAGUGGUUAUUGUCAGCAUCUUUCCUUAAUUCCCAUGGAUGUGAAAAGGAAUAGGUUUUGCACACAAAUUAUUAGGAAAACCAGUCAAAUAGGUGUUAUUCCAGCCAUCUACUUAGCUGUAGAUGUAGAUAACAGCUGACUCACUGCUUAAAAUCCCACGUUCUCCAACAUCUUGACAUCUGAAAUAGCUGAAGCCUCACAAAGUGAUAAUAGGAUUUCUAACUGAGAAGUGGAAGUAUUUUGCAUUAAUAUUAUAUAUAGCAAUGAAUAAAACAUUAACACGUAACUAGAAUGUUUUUCACUUGUAUUUGAAUAGUAACUUCAAUCUCAGCUGUUUCAAAAUAUGUAUUCUUUCAAAAUACCAGGAGGCAGUAGUACAUAAAAGAUUCAUUCUCUUUUGGUCUAUGAAUCAGCUAUGAAAAAACUGAAGUUUCAGUUCAUUCUCCUGUCCUCUCAGCAAGCAGUACAACUAUAUUAUUACUGAUUUGGGAGAGAUUGUAAUGUUAACUCUGAAACAAAAACUCCUGAAAAAAGGUCGAUGCUCAGUAAAAAUACUACGGGGAAAAAAACAGAACAACUGGUACAAUAAAGCAUAAUUUUCUCAAACUCUGUUCAUACAGUAUUUUAUAAACCAACCAAAUAUAGUAUAUUGUCCUAUUUUCUUUGACUACUAAAUCUGUUGUAGAAGCAGAAAACUUUGUUCAAAGUUAUAAGAGAUUGCAUUUACAGAAAGAAACCCUUUUUUCAAGACUCUCUGCAAGCUGUACAGCAUCUCAUCUGCACCAAUUUAGCUUACAAUUUUUCUUCACAUUAGAACAGGCUAUCUUUUAGUUUGCAAAGAAGUACUAAGUGAAGAUAUUUUAUUUGUCAUCUCUUAUCAUUUUAAAUAAAAUGCAGAGGCAAAUUAUAUGAGUUUUGGUUUGUCUUUCAGGCCUAAAGUUCCACUAGCACUUUAAAAAUUGCCCAACAUAUUCUCAGGGAAAAAACCCUUUGAAUACGAUAAAAGAGACAUCCAAAAAGUUGAGAAUGGAAAACAAAUUCUGCAAAGGAAGUGAAUCUCAGCCAGUGCUUGUGAUGGGGAAAGAGAAAGACACUACAAGCAGGCUGGGUAUGGAAAGUGGGGCUGUGGGAAGAAUGCAUUCAUGCUGUAAUAUUUUGUAGUCCAUAAAGCAUGGGUUUCUUAAACAGUGCCUUAAACAGUUUCUUAAAUACUUUUUGCAGAUAACUGUUCCAUUGUUACAUCCUUGGCAUUCUGUCAGUCACCAGAAGUGACAACAAUCCUGUGCAACAGCAUCUAUGGACCGAGGGAUGAGCUGCUGCCAGCCUCACCUGCAGGCUCUGCCAGCAGCUAAGGACUCCUGCCAUCCGAGCAGCAGAGGGAAACACAAACAGGAUUGAUUUGCUUCAGAAAACAGAGCAGCUGUUGCCAUGAGCAGAAGAAGGCAGAAUGAUGGAGACUGCCUAUGACUGCCCAUGACAGACAAGAGGCUCAUCCAGAAAGCAGAAGACCUAUGUUCAGUGUUCUCCUCGGCCUGAGAUGAGUCAAAGCCAUAUUUGCUCCCUUCAGGAGUCUCCUGCAGCCUCUGAACUGGAUACUUCUAUGGAGACAGGGCAUUCCCAUCUUCUCAAAACAGAAUGAUAGCACAGACAAGAAACAAGCUUCAGAGGGUCAGAGAGAGAGAGAGAAUCCUCAAGAAAGUGCCUCUCUGUGUCAUCCACUAUUGCAACAUUCAGCUGAAAGAAUGAGGCAUUGGCUCCAGAAGAGUUUAUAUAUUUUCAGCCAAUAAAAGGCUGAAAUACUUUACAGCACUAAAUAUUCAGAGGGAAAAAAAAAAACCAAAAAAACGCAAACAAACAAAUGAACAACUAAAAACUGUAGUUGUUAUUUAAUGAAAUACAGAAGUCUUCAUUGGCAUUUGAAUGCCAAUGAAUGGUAACUUUCAUUGAAUGCCAAUUGAACUCUGAAUGGUAAAAGGACUUUAGGAGCUGUAUACAUCCAUUCUAGUUGUAGAAUAAUUAAUAUGAACAGUCCUUCUCUUGAAAAUAAAAGUUUUCUCUAGCAACGAUGACUGUUCCUAGAGUGCCAUAUCCCAUAUGAGCGGAGGCAAACCAAGGAUUCAUUCACAUUUCAAGCUGGACAGGUAGGGGCUACUGUCCUGCUGAUGAAUGUAAUGCUCUAUCUCUGACUAGAGCACAAACUGGAUGUCAGCCCAAGCCAACCUGUAUUGUUAUAACGAGUCACUAUGCACUCUGGCAACUGUCCAGACCUCCCCUGGAGCCCUUCAUGCUAGGUGGAAUCAGGGGUAGUCCAAAGACAUGACUUCACAGACCAGCCCUGUGACUAUUACAGUUACAAGGUAAGAUCUGCAGUGGUGAUAGCUGGUGCUCAAAAACUGCCAUUUCAGCAUCAAGGCAGCCUGACAGUGAUCACUUUGGGGGAUGGGUAAAAUUUGUUAAGGUCAUGAGCAAAUGCAUGGGUUUUGUGGUGUUCUUCUUCUCCCCCUGCCUCCACUCUGCUUUUGGGAACAGCAGGGGAUAGAGAUUGACAGUGAUCCAGACUCCUGAAAUGCUCAGAGGGAUGAGGGUCAAGUUCAAUUAUCUUUUAUUUUAUAAGCAGGGAGCCAGUAGCCAGGAUAUGAAGCCAGUGCAGUGUGCCUGCAUGUGUCUUGCACCCCAGGCUUGCUGUUAAUGCUGCCCUGUCUGCUAGAGAUGUUUAAUGCUCCAGCCCAUUUUUGGAGGCUGAGGCUUUCUAUUCAUUAUCAGAUCUUUUAUUAAAAGGGCAGCAUUAUAUUUUACUCUUGAAUCCAUUUUCUGGGUACUCAGGGAUGUCAAUAGACAUUAAAUUCACAGGAACCAUGAUACUUGUAUUUUAAAGUCUGCCUUGUAUCUGAAACCUGAGAAAUACCAUCUCAGAAAUAAUUGAAUUAAAUUAGACAAAAAGUAUACAGAAUAAAAGGUAUUUGUACUUCUUUUCAAAGAUCAACAUACUAGAACCCUGCACAAAGGUUAAGUUUUAUAGGAGAUAUUUGGAUGGAAGUAAAAAUGCUUUAAAAAGCUGUGUUCAGUGGAAAGGAAGACAGUAAAACUACAAGUAAGUUUUGCAAGGGCAGGCAACAAUAAGGUAGCUUAGCUUUUAGAAUUAACUUUUUGUCCUCUGAGAUCUACCAGUUAGUGUCUUGGGAAUAGAGGCAAAGAAGAGCAUGGAAUAGAGGAAAUCAAUGAAAAUCAAAAAAUAGUUGCUGAGUUACACUGAUGUUCCAGAUUUUGAAGAUAUCUUCAGAAAGUUAUUGCUUAAGCAAAAGCAAUAAGUCAAGUUAAAAAUCUCAACAACCCCAUAGUGUCUCAAAACCACAUCACAGACAUUAAUGUGUCUGGAAGCUGUUGAGGUUGAACUUUAGGGCAUGAAGUAGCCACAAAACCCUUUGAGAUUAACAUCUUUUAGGUUAGACCCAUUUUUGGUAGUAAUUCUUACUGUGUUUAUGAGUUGGUUAAUCACUACUAGACAGCUUGAAUGCAAAGGAAAACUAGGAGCUGGGGGAACUUGUAAGACAAAUUUCUGGCUCACAGGUUUUAAAAUGAGCAAGCAGGAAAUGUAGAGAAUGAGAUCAGACUGCCCAGACUCACUACCUUACUGGCUUGCUGGAAUGGAGAGAGGAACAAACACUGGUAAAGAUACUUGUAACUUAGCAUUAAGUUGUUUGGUAGCUUCUCUACCAGCUUUAAUGUAACACUGAUGUUUUAAAGAAAGUAAAGAAAGACUUUUUAGAGCAAUAUGAUCCCAAAGCCUCAGAAAUUAUAGCCACAUAAAAAAGAGAGGUAAAAUAACAUAACUCCUGCUGCAAAAUGCUAGGAGGAAAAUUACAGGCAAUUUCAGUCCCAUUGCCAUUUUCCUUACUGCUUUGAAGGAAUGCAGUAGAUUACCUGCAUUAAAAUGGCAGCCUUAGAAAAUGGUUCUCUUUUACAGGCUGCUAUAGCCUCAAAGGCUUCAGUGCCCUUGGAAAUGUCCACAUAGCAAAAUAAAGGACACAAAAUAGUGUUGUAAUUCUCAACAGGCUUUUAUCUUGCUACUACAGAUAACAAUAGCAUCAAAAACAUAGCAGGUAGAAAGGGCUUUUCACACCAGCAUGUGUGUUUGUAACUUCUACAAAGACUGUCCCAGGAGAGUUUAUAUUUGGUUUGCUGGUUUGUGCUCCAGACAGUCCCAGUCUGUCCAUCAUGUUGUGCAGGCCUUUUUUCUGUCUUACAGACAGCAGAUGCAAAUGAUAACUAUGCCUAAUUAACAGAGCUCUCCCUCACCCACUGAAAUCUGAACAGGCUACAGACAAAACUGAAGCACAUGUAACACCAAACACUAUCACAGACUAGUUAGCAGCAGGGUUGUUUUGCAUAUCACAUCCAUGUUAACUGUGACACUAAGAGAAUAGAUCUGUUAGAAAAGAUCUGCAGGGAUGGAAGUUUUCAGAACACAAAGACCAAAGGCUCCUGACUGCAACUUUUUAUUAGAUGUAUGGCAGCGUGUGUCUAUGGGUGAUUCAAACCACUGAAGGAAUAACUGGAGACAAGAUCAAAAAUAAUCAGUACAACUCUUUGUCUUUAGACAAAGUCUCGAACCCAGCCUAGAGAGUAGUGACCAGAAGUUCCUGUUAACAUCUCCUGCCUAUUGCUUAACUUAUUUUUAAGCAAUCAUCAUUAAGACUCUUAUUUACACUGGGGCAGGUGCUGUGCAAAUAGGACAAAGCAAUAAGAAAGCCUACUGUAAAGGGGGAAAUUAUGUUGAUGCCACUUAUUUGGGUUCAUGGGCACUUAGGCAGGCUCUGGACAAGAAAACAAGGCACAAAAUGACACAUCAGUAGCACCAGAAGAAGCAGAUUUCUGUGUCCAUGCUUUGUCAGCCCAGUGGCUAUCACUUACCUGACAAUUAUAAAAGAUACAACCCAAAUUUAUAAUUAUCAAAAUAACUAAUUACAGCACUGAAUCACUACACUCCUUGCUCCUUCCCACACCAGUACCACAGUCAUAUAUGCAUGUCAACUCUGUUCAGAGUCUGUGAGUAAUUAGAGCUAGCUGGAAAAAAUGGGGUUUAUUCCACUGGAACACAAACCUUUUCCAUCAAAAACCUAACCUACAAAUCUUUCUUUCAUUUAUGAGAUAAAGCUUGUUGCAAGAAAAAAAAAUUAAAUGUUGGGGUGAAUGUUAAACUGAUUUCACUUUAUUUAGCUGAAAAUAAUCUGUUCAGAAAACAAUCUGAUCCGCUAGUCAGGCUAUGUAUGUAUUAACUGGUGUAAGCAAAAUUUCCCAUCAAACUGAGGAACACAAGAGCAAGGAGUCUCUCCUUGUCCCACUUUUUGUAGCCUUUUGCCAUUGCAUGUUCAGCCUGCCAUCAUCUCAAGGCAGAAACAAACAUACCAAGCUUGUCUGGACUCCAGAGAGGUGCCAACUCAGAUCUCCCUUAUCUACCAGCUAAGAUGCAUGUCUGUGCCUGUGACAGACACAUCUUUAAGUCGGGUAUGGGUAAGUCAGUCACUUUUCAGGGACAAGACGUGUCUCUGUUAAUGGCUUUUUAUUGAUAACCUCACUGGUGUGUGUUUUUCAAAAGCAGAUAAUGAAGAAACACACAACUUUUCCAAUUGAGAAAUAACCUUGUCCUUUCCUGUUAAAAUAUCUGUAAAAGGGACCCAGCAAGGUCACAUAGUCCAACCCCACAGCCCCCACCCCAGGCAGGAACAACUAAAUUUAAACCAUCUAUCACAGGAACUGCUUACUAGACUUUUCUUCUCUGGUCACACAUUCUUCCUAACCAACCUUAACCUUUCUCUUUCAGUUAAAAGAGGAUGGAUGAUAUUGUUCUUGCUCUGUAGACUUCCUGCUGUUUCUCCCAAUGUGUUGUUUUUGCUGGAUGUUUUUCAAAGUCAAAUGCCCUUCCUAGGAAUCCGGGCACCUUGUUAGAUCUUAAACUGCUGUUGGAGUUCACUGUUGACUAAUGUGUGUAGACUAGGAUUAAUGCUAUUUUUGUAAGAAAAGCAAAUGUUUGCAGGAAAAGAAUGGGAAUGAAUAUAUAUUAUUAUGGACAUUGAGAUAUACAUUGUGGAGACUGUAUGCUUUCUGUUUCUUAUCUGAUAAUUUCCUUGAUUUCCUGGGACAGAUUCUCAGCUUAAAUAAACAAUUUCCAGUG